UGAGGAACAUGACCUUCGGCGGGGGAUAGCCGGCCCAACGGCCGGGUAAUACCGCGUACGACCUUUUGGGGACAUCCCUGAUUGGUGAAAGCAGCAAUGCGCCGAUGGAGUGCCUCGCGGCCUAUCAGCUAGUUGGUGAGGUAACGGCUCACCAAGGCGACGACGGGUAGCUGGUCUGAGAGGAUGGCCAGCCACAUUGGGACUGAGACACGGCCCAGACUCCUACGGGAGCAG
rnacentral:rRNA from 1 species